rnacentral:rRNA from 1 species
AAGACUGGAUAGGAAGUUUUAAGGCAUCUUGAAACUUUUAAAAGACCCGCAAGGGUAUGCUGAGAGAUGGGCUUGCGGCACAUUAGUUAGUUGGUAAGGUAACGGCUUACCAAGACCAUGAUGUGUAGCUGGACUGAGAGGUUGAACGGCCACAUUGGGACUGAGAUACGGCCCAAACUCCUACGGGAGGCAGCAGUAAGGAAUUUUCGGCAAUGGAGGAAACUCUGACCGAGCAACGCCGCGUGAACGAUGAAGUAUUUAGGUAUGUAAAGUUCUUUUAUUAAAGAAGAAAAAAUGAUGGAAAAAUCAUUCUGACGGUAUUUAAUGAAUAAGCCCCGGCUAACUAUGUGCCAGCAGCUGCGGUAAUACAUGGGGGGCAAGCGUUAUCCGGAUUUAUUGGGCGUAAAGGGUGCGUAGGCGGUUUAAUAAGUCUAUGGUCUAAGUUCAACGCUUAACGUUGUGAUGCUAUAGAAACUGUUUGACUAGAGUUGGAUAGAGGCAAGUGGAAUUCCAUGUGUAGCGGUAAAAUGCGUAAAGAUAUGGAGGAACACCAGUAGCGAAGGCGGCUUGCUGGGUCUUAACUGACGCUGAGGCACGAAAGCGUGGGGAGCAAACAGGAUUAGAUACCCUGGUAGUCCACGCCGUAAACGAUGAGUACUAAGUGUUGGGUUAAACCAGUGCUGAAGUUAACGCAUUAAGUACUCCGCCUGAGUAGUACGUACGCAAGUAUGAAACUUAAAGGAAUUGACGGGACUCCGCACAAGCGGUGGAUCAUGUUGUUUAAUUCGAAGAUACACGAAAAACCUUACCAGGUCUUGACAUACUCUGCAAAGCUAUAGAAAUAUAGUGGAGGUUAUCAGGGAUACAGGUGGUGCAUGGUUGUCGUCAGCUCGUGUCGUGAGAUGUUGGGUUAAGUCCCGCAACGAGCGCAACCCUUAUCGCUAGUUACCAUCAUUUAGUUGGGCACUUUAGUGAGACUGCCAAUGAUAAAUUGGAGGAAGGUGGGGAUUACGUCAAAUCAUCAUGCCCCUUAUGACCUGGGCUACAAACGUGAUACAAUGGCUGUUACAAAGAGUAGCUGAAGCGUGAGUUUUUAGCAAAUCUCAAAAAAACAGUCUCAGUUCGGAUUGAAGUCUGCAACUCGACUUCAUGAAGUCGGAAUCGCUAGUAAUCGCGAAUCAGCAUGUCGUGGUGAAUACGUUCUCGGGGUUUGUACACACCGCCCG